GAUGAACGCUAGCGGCAGGCUUAAUACAUGCAAGUCGAGGGGCAGCACAGAUAGCAAUAUUGGGUGGCGACCGGCAAACGGGUGCGGAACACGUACACAACCUUCCUUUUGGUGGGGAAUAGCCUUUGGAAACGGAGAUUAAUACCCCAUAAGAUAUUGGAAUCGCAUGGUUUUGAUAUUAAAGAUUUAUUGCCAGAAGAUGGGUGUGCGUAUGAUUAGGUAGUUGGUGAGGUAAAGGCUCACCAAGCCGACGAUCAUUAACUGGUGUGAGAGCACGACCAGUCACACGGGCACUGAGACACGGGCCCGACUCCUACGGGAGGCAGCAGUAAGGAAUAUUGGCCAAUGGACGGAAGUCUGAACCAGCCAUGCCGCGUGGAGGAUGAAGGUCCUCUGGAUUGUAAACUUCUUUUAUAUGGGGCGAAAAAGGGCCAUUCUUGGUCAACUGACGGUACCAUAUGAAUAAGCACCGGCUAACUCCGUGCCAGCAGCCGCAGUAAGAC
rnacentral:rRNA from 1 species